UGAUACUGCUUUUCUUGAGUGUAGAUGAUGUGGGCGGAAUACAGCAUGUAGCGGUGAAAUGCGUAGAUAUGCUGUAGAACACCGAUUGCGAAGGCAGCUCACUAAACUACUACUGACACUCAGGGACGAAAGCGUGGGGAGCAAACAGGAUUAGAUACCCUGGUAGUCCACGCCGUAAACGAUGUCGACUAGCCGUUGGGAUCCUUGAGAUCUUAGUGGCGCAACUAACGCAUUAAGUCGACCGCCUGGGGAGUACGGUCGCAAGAUUAUAACUCGAAGGAAUAGACGGGGACCCGCACAAGCGGUGGAGCAUGUGGUUUAAUUCGACGAUACACGAAGAACCCUUACCUGGACGUGACAUAGUAAGAACUUUCUAGAGAUAGAUUGGUGUCUGCUUGCAGACACUUAUAUACAGGGUGCUGCAGCGGCUGUCGUCAGCUCGUGUCGUGAGAUGUUGGGUUAAGUCCCGCAACGAGCGCAACCCUCGUCCUUAGGUGCUAAACAGUUCGGCUGAGAACUCUAAGGAGACUGCCUACGCAAGUAGGAGGAAGGUGA
rnacentral:rRNA from 1 species